rnacentral:rRNA from 1 species
ACACGUAAGGGGCAAGCGUUGUUCGGAAUUAUUGGGCGUAAAGGGCGUGUAGGCGGUUUUGCAAGUCUGGCGUUAAAUCUCACAGCUUAACUGUGGAAGAGCGCUGGAAACUGCAGGACUAGAGUUUAGGAGGGGAAGCUGGAAUUCCAGGUGUAGGGGUGAAAUCUGUAGAUAUCUGGAAGAACACCGGUGGCGAAGGCGAGCUUCUGGCCAUAGACUGACGCUGAUGCGCGAAAGCGUGGGGAGCGAACAGGAUUAGAUACCCUGGUAGUCCACGCUGUAAACAAUGUGCACUAGGUGUUGGGCAGGAUUGUUCAGUGCCGUAGCAAACGCGAUAAGUGCACCGCCUGGCGAGUAUGCUCGCAAGGGUGAA